CUUCACGAUCUAGCGAGGCGGUGCCCCCAGGGAGAGGCGCGGGCAUUGCACUGCGCUCGUGCUGACCCCUGCCACUACACCAAAUUGGGGCAGAUGGGGC
rnacentral:lncRNA from 1 species